UGCUCCUAAUUUCCUUGUUUUUUACUUUCUUUCUUCCGCUAUUCUACCACCAUGUCUUCCAGGCAAACACGGCUUUGAGAGUCGCCUCAUUGACCUCCCUCUCCAUCUUCUAUUGGAGAUCCACUACAGCAAUUGAAAGAAACUUGUUGUAUUUCCUUCAUUCACUCUCCCUUUGUGUGCCCAUUGGCGGCUGCUCAUUCAUACAGUACAAUUCGACCUUCUCUGUAUUGUUAUUCUCUUUCCCUUUCCAUUCCAGUCUCUUCCCUAGAACACGCCCUCUCCGGUCUGCGAAGUCGGGACUUCUCACACUUGAAUCGGCCAAAUAUUGAACUAUUAAUUCCUGAAUCACCGUCCAGUUCGUCUCUCCCAGCUUGAGGCUAGCUGUAUAUCUCCUCAACUUCCUCCAUUGUGUGGGCUACAGCGAGGAAUUCGUGGUGGACUAUGAUUCUGGCCCCAGCAUAAAAUGUCAUCCCCCAGCAAUAGCGACAGCGUGGCCGCUGCGCUUGAUGCGCAGAGCGGCACAGGCCAAAAGACAGCGGGAAUGUCAAUAACCACCUUUUUGGCAUCCCUAGCUACCGCUCUCAUAGUCUUCACAGCUGAAGUCUUAUUAUUUACGCUGCUCAAGGGAAAGUUGACCAGGAUUUACCAACCGCGAACAUAUCUGGUCUCAGAACGAGAACGUACCAACCCUUCCCC
rnacentral:sRNA from 2 species